rnacentral:rRNA from 1 species
GAGUUUGAUUCUGGCUCAGGAUGAACGCGGCGGCGUGCGUAACACAUGCAAGUUGAACGACGGUGCCAUGUAGUGGUAACACGGAGUGGUAUACGGAGUAGCGGACGGGUGAGUAAAGCAUGAGAAUCUGUCCUACCGAGGGGGAUAACGUCCGGAAACGGACCCUAAUACCCCAUAGGCCUACGGGUUAAAGCGGAGACGCGCUGUAGGAGGAGCUCGUGUCCUAUCAGCUGGUUGGUGAGGUAAGGGCUUACCAAGGCGAUGACGGGUAGCCGGCCUGAGAGGGUGACCGGCCACACUGGAACUGAGAGACGGUCCAGACUCCUACGGGAGGCAGCAGUGGGGAAUAUUGGGCAAUGGGAGGAAUCCUGACCCAGCGACGCCGCGUGAACGAAGAAGGCCUUCGGGUCGUAAAGUUCUUUUAUGUGGGAAGAAGAGAGUGACG